rnacentral:rRNA from 1 species
UACGGAGGAUGCGAACGUUAUCCGGAUUUAUUGGGUUUAAAGGGUGCGUAGGCGGGCUUUUAAGUCAGCGGUAAAAAUUCGGGGCUCAACCCCGUCCGGCCGUUGAAACUGGGGGCCUUGAGUGGGCGAGAAGAAGGCGGAAUGCGUGGUGUAGCGGUGAAAUGCAUAGAUAUCACGCAGAACCCCGAUUGCGAAGGCAGCCUUCCGGCGCCCUACUGACGCUGAGGCACGAAAGUGCGGGGAUCGAACAGG